GCUGUGAUGGCUGGGUGGUCAAGGCAUUGGAUUCAAAAUCCAAUGGGGUCUGCCCGCUCAGGUUAGAAUCCUGCUCACGGCA
rfam:Ovis aries breed Texel chromosome 2, whole genome shotgun sequence.